AAAACGGAGAGUUUGAUCCUGGCUCAGGAUGAACGCUGGCGGUAUGCUUAACACAUGCAAGUCGAACGAGAUGCUUAGGCAUCUAGUGGCGGACGGGUGAGUAACGCGUGAGAAUCUGGCUCCAGGUCGGGGACAACAGUUGGAAACGACUGCUAAUACCGGAUGUGCCGAGAGGUGAAAGAUUUAUCGCCUGGAGAUGAGCUCGCGUCUGAUUAGCUAGUUGGCGGUGUAAGGGACCACCAAGGCAUCGAUCAGUAGCUGGUCUGAGAGGAUGAUCAGCCACACUGGGACUGAGACACGGCCCAGACUCCUACGGGAGGCAGCAGUGGGGAAUUUUCCGCAAUGGGCGAAAGCCUGACGGAGCAAUACCGCGUGAGGGAGGAAGGCUCUUGGGUCGUAAACCUCUUUUCUCAAGGAAGAAGAAAGUGACGGUACUUGAGGAAUAAGCAUCGGCUAACUCCGUGCCAGCAGCCGCGGUAAUACGGAGGAUGCAAGCGUUAUCCGGAAUGAUUGGGCGUAAAGGGUCUGCAGGUGGAACUGAAAGUCUGCUGUUAAAGAGUUUGGCUUAACCAAAUAAAAGCGGUGGAAACUACAGAACUAGAGUGCGGUAGGGGCAAAAGGAAUUCCUGGUGUAGCGGUGAAAUGCGUAGAUAUCAGGAAGAACACCGGUGGCGAAAGCGUUUUGCUAGACCGUAACUGACACUGAGGGACGAAAGCUAGGGGAGCGAAUGGGAUUAGAUACCCCAGUAGUCCUAGCCGUAAACGAUGGAUACUAGGCGUGGCUUGUAUCGACCCGAGCCGUGCCGGAGCUAACGCGUUAAGUAUCCCGCCUGGGGAGUACGCACGCAAGUGUGAAACUCAAAGGAAUUGACGGGGGCCCGCACAAGCGGUGGAGUAUGUGGUUUAAUUCGAUGCAACGCGAAGAACCUUACCAAGACUUGACAUCCUGCGAAUCCCGGUGAAAGCUGGGAGUGCCUUAGGGAGCGCAGAGACAGGUGGUGCAUGGCUGUCGUCAGCUCGUGUCGUGAGAUGUUGGGUUAAGUCCCGCAACGAGCGCAACCCUCGUUUUUAGUUGCCAGCAUUAAGUUGGGCACUCUAGAGAGACUGCCGGUGACAAACCGGAGGAAGGUGAGGAUGACGUCAAGUCAGCAUGCCCCUUACGUCUUGGGCUACACACGUACUACAAUGCUACGGACAGAGGGCAGCGAGCCAGGGAUGGCAAGCGAAUCCAGAAACCGUAGCUCAGUUCAGAUCGAAGGCUGCAACUCGCCUUCGUGAAGGAGGAAUCGCUAGUAAUUGCAGGUCAGCAUACUGCAGUGAAUUCGUUCCCGGGCCUUGUACACACCGCCCGUCACACCAUGGAAGUUGGUCACGCCCGAAGUCAUUACCCCAACCGAAAGGAGGGGGAUGCCUAAGGUAGGACUGGUGACUGGGGUGAAGUCGUAACAAGGUAGCCGUACCGGAAGGUGUGGCUGGAUCACCUCCUUUU
rnacentral:rRNA from 1 species